rnacentral:rRNA from 1 species
UACGUAGGGUGCGAGCGUUGUCCGGAAUUAUUGGGCGUAAAGAGCUUGUAGGCGGUUUGUCGCGUCUGCUGUGAAAUCCCAGGGCUUAACCCUGGGCUUGCAGUGGGUACGGGCAGACUAGAGUGUGGUAGGGGAGACUGGAAUUCUCGGUGUAGCGGUGAAAUGCGUAGAUAUCGAGAGGAACACCUGCGGCGAAGGCGGGUUGCUGGGCUGAUACUGACGCUGAUGCGCGAAAGCCAGGGGGGAGCGAACG